rnacentral:rRNA from 1 species
CCUACGGGCGGCAGCAGUGGGGAAUAUUGCGCAAUGGGCGAAACCCUGAUGCAGCGACGCCGCGUGAGGGAAGAAGGUUUUCGGUAUGUAAACUUCUAUCAGCAGGGAAGAAAAUGACGGUACCUGACUAAGAAGCCCCGGCUAACUACGUGCCAGCAGCCGCGGUAAUACGUAGGGGGCAAGCGUUAUCCGGAUUUACUGGGUGUAAGGGGGGCGGAGGCGGUUUAGCAAGUCAGAAGUGAAAGCCCGGGGCGCAACCCCGGGACUGCUUUUGAAACUGUUGAACUAGAGUGCAGGAGAGGCAGGCGGAAUUCCUGGUGUAGCGGUGAAAUGCGUAGAUAUCAGGAGGAACACCAGUGGCGAAGGCGGCUUACUGGACUGUAAAUGACGCUGAGGCCCGAAAGCGUGGGGAGCAAACAGGAUUAGAUACCCGUGUAGUC